rnacentral:tRNA from 1 species
GCCUUCGUGGUGUAAUAUUAGCACACUGGACUCGUAUUCCGGAGGUCCAGGUUCGAGUUCCGGCGAAAGCA